rnacentral:lncRNA from 1 species
GCUUUGGUUGAACGGUUCAUGAGUUAAUGCACGGACAACAUUUGAUUGCCGCCUUUCAAGAACCAUAACUCCUGAACGGUAAAAGUCAAAAUCGCCAUUAUUGAACUUGACCUUUGUAUAGUUGUCAGUAAUAACAUAUUAAAAUUUUAAAAGCUUUGGUUGAACGGUUCAUGAGUUAAUGCACGGACAACAUUUGAUUGCCGCCCGCCCGCC